UCGGGAUUAGCCAAGCGGUAAGGCCGUGGACUCUGAAUCCGCUAUCGGGGGUUCGAAUCCCUCAUCCCGAACCA
rnacentral:tRNA from 1 species